rnacentral:rRNA from 1 species
GAUGAACGCUGACAGAAUGCUUAACACAUGCAAGUCGACUCGAGUCUUCGGACUUGGGUGGCGCACGGGUGAGUAACGCGUAAAGAACUUGCCUCUUAGACCGGGACAACAUCUGGAAACGGAUGCUAAUACCGGAUAUUAUGGUUUUUUCGCAUGGAGGAAUCAUGAAAGCUAGAUGCGCUAAGAGAGAGCUUUGCGUCCCAUUAGCUGGUUGGUGAGGUAACGGCCCACCAAGGCAAUGAUGGGUAGCCGGCCUGAGAGGGUGAACGGCCACAAGGGGACUGAGACACGGCCCUUACUCCUACGGGAGGCAGCAGUGGGGAAUAUUGGACAAUGGACCGCAAGUCUGAUCCAGCAAUUCUGUGUGCACGAUGACGUUUUUCGGGAUGUAAAGUGCUUUCAGUCGGGAAGAAGUCAGUGACGGUACCGACAGAAGAAGCGACGGCUAAAUACGUGCCAGCAGCCGCGGUAAUACGUAUGUCGCAAGCGUUAUCCGGAUUUAUUGGGCGUAAAGCGCGUCUAGGCGGCAAGGAAAGUCUGAUGUGAAAAUGCAGGGCUCAACUCUGUAUUGCGUUGGAAACUGUGUAACUAGAGUACUGGAGAGGUAAGCGGAACUACAAGUGUAGAGGUGAAAUUCGUAGAUAUUUGUAGGAAUGCCGAUGGGGAAGCCAGCUUACUGGACAGAUACUGACGCUGAAGCGCGAAAGCGUGGGUAGCAAACAGG